CCUACGGGGGGCAGCAGUGGGGAAUAUUGCACAAUGGGGGAAACCCUGAUGCAGCAACGCCGCGUGAGCGAUGAAGGCCUUCGGGUCGUAAAGCUCUGUCCUAAGAGAAGAAUACUGACGGUACCUUAGGAGGAAACGCCGGCUCACUACGUGCCAGCAGCCGCGGUCACACGUAGGGGGCUAGCGUUAUCCGGAAUUACUGGGCGUAAAGGGUGCAUCGGCGGCCAUGCACGUCAGCGUUGAAAGGCUACGGCACAACCGUAGUAAGUCUUUUAAACUGUAGGGCUUGAGUGCAGGAGAGGUGAGUGGAAUGCCCAGUGUAGCGGUGAAAGGCGUAGAUAUUGGGGGGUACACCAGUUGCGAAGGCGGCUCUCUGGACUGUACCUGACGGUGAGGCACGAAAGCGUGGGGAGCGAACAGGGUUAGAUACCCGGGUAGUC
rnacentral:rRNA from 1 species